AUUUGUAUAGCUUAAUAAGAGAGCAUAAUAUUGAAGAUAUUAAGGUAAUAAUAAUUUACAAAUA
rnacentral:tRNA from 1 species